AGUACGUUCGCAAGAAUGAAACUCAAAGGAAUUGACGGGGGCCCGCACAAGCGGAGGAGCAUGUGGUUUAAUUCGAUGAUACGCGAGGAACCUUACCAAGGCUUAAAUGUAAUAUGACCGGUUGAGAGAUCAACCUUUUUUCGAACAGAUUACAAGGUGCUGCAUGGUUGUCGUCAGCUCGUGCCGUGAGGUGUCGGGUUAAGUCCCAUAACGAGCGCAACCCCUAUUUUUAGUUACCAGCGAGUAAUGUCGGGAACUCUAGAAAAACUGCCUGUGCAAACAGAGAGGAAGGUGGGGAUGACGUCAAAUCAUCACGGCCCUUAUGUCUUGGGCUACACACGUGCUACAAUGGUUACUACAAUGUGAUGCCAUCUGGUGACAGAGAGCUAAUCAAUAAAGGUAAUCUCAGUUCGGAUUGGAGUCUGCAACUCGACUCUAUGAAGUUGGAUUCGCUAGUAAUCGUAUAUCAGCCAUGAUACGGUGAAUACGUUCCCGGGCCUUGUACACACCGCCCGUCAAGCCAUGGAAGUUUGGGGUACCUGAAGUCAGUAACCGCAAGGAACUGCCUAGGGUAAAACAAAUAACUAGGGCUAAGUCGUAACAAGGUAACC
rnacentral:rRNA from 1 species